GAUAAGAUGACGUGUCAUCUUUAUCCAAUCCAAGUGGCGCUUCUUCAUGAGGCGCCAUUCUAAAUUCACCGUAUUCCCUUCUUUCUCACGCCAUCUGAUGUUGACUAAGUCAAUAUCACAAGUCCAUCACGAGAUCAUGAUCUCCCAUCAUCCCAUGAUGAAGAUCCAAUGGCUCUAAUCCAUGGCGCCAUCCAUUUGAUCCUUCUCUUCAUCCAAAUGUUGAUCCAAUGGUCAAAAUUAAAUGUUUUGUCAAAUCUAAUCCAAUUAGACUCAAAUCAAGACAAUUAGGUGCCAACUAUUGGCUAACCCAUAUUAGAAUAUGAUCUAAUCAAAUUAGAUCAAUUAAGAAUCAGAUUCGAAUCCAAUUCGAAUCAGAUUCGAAUCCAGUUCGAAUCAGGAACACCUGCUAGGAUGUUUAUCUUGCAAACAUGAUCUAAUCCAAUUAGACCCUUGAUAAGUUUUCUUGUGUGUGACUCAUUGGGUUCCAUACUUAGCCAGCAAUAGGUGUGAGUGCGAGUUGACCCAACUUGAUUAGAACUCUUCUAAUCGAUUUAAGUCCAAACUGCGCGAACCCGAACUUAAUAAUUAGAAUCCUUUCUAAUUGGUAAUCGAAUUAAACUCUUUAGUUCGAUCAAACCUAUAAGACAAGAUUGACGUCUAGCAACGUGUCAUGUCUACCCGGAAAAUAUGA
rnacentral:lncRNA from 1 species